AAUGAAUGAUGACAAUGUUUCAGUCCCAAAUGAUGUCUGUGAUUACUCUGAGAUCGUUCUGAAGUU